rnacentral:rRNA from 1 species
CCAGACUCCUACGGGAGGCAGCAGUGGGGAAUAUUGCACAAUGGGGGAAACCCUGAUGCAGCGACGCCGCGUGAGCGAGGAAGUAUUUCGGUAUGUAAAGCCCUAUCGGCAGGGAAGAAGAAAUGACGGUACCUGAAUAAGAAGCACCGGCUAAAUACGUGCCAGCAGCCGCGGUAAUACGUAUGGUGCAAGCGUUAUCCGGAUUUACUGGGCGUAAAGGGAGCGCAGGCGGCGCGCCAAGUCUGAUGUGAAACCCCGGGGCUCAACCCCGGGCAUGCAUUGGAAACUGGCGGGCUGGAGUGCCGGAGAGGUAAGCGGAAUUCCUAGUGUAGCGGUGAAAUGCGUAGAUAUUAGGAGGAACACCAGUGGCGAAGGCGACUUUCUGGACUGUAACUGACGCUGAGGCACGAAAGUGUGGGGAGCAAACAGGAUUAGAUACCCGUGUAA